rnacentral:rRNA from 1 species
AUGGCGCUGUGGACUGGGCUGGGUCAGGCGGCGACCGUGGCACAACUGGUUGGCGCAGACAUUGGCGGGCUAAUCUCUAUGUUCAUGCAGGCUGCACUGACAGCUCGGCAGAACAAGAAGGAGUGCGAGCAGCUCGCCCGUCGGGUCUUGUUGAUCGCCCAGCUGCUGCCGCAAGUGCAGGACCGGGAGGCGGCACAGCAGCUGGCUGGGCUAGAAGACACGCUUCGGGACGCCCACGAGCUCGUCGUGUCCUGCCCGGGGAGGAGCACGGCGUAUCAAGUAUUCAUGGCCGGGAGGCAGGCCGAAAGGUUCAAGGAGGUGCAGAGCAACAUCGACUUCUACCUCAUGCUCUUCCCCGUGAUCAGCCACAUCGACGUAACAUGCCGCCUCGGCCAAAUCUACGAGGUCCUUGUACCAGAUGACUCCACAACAGGUGAACUAGCUCCACUUCCACAGUCGUCCCAUCUGCAGGAGUUUACGGAGGUUGCUAAAGAGGUACUCCCGCAUGGAACCCAGGAAUUCACGUUCCCAGAGCUGGAGGCUGCCACCAAUAACUUCCACCGUGACAACCUGAUCAGACAAAGGCGGCCCUGCAAUUGUCUAUUGGGGUGGAAAAAAGUGCGGGAAGAGCCGGAAAUCGAGGAGAGGAUGAUCGUCUCCGAGUACAUGGAGAACGGCAAGCUCUAUGACCACCUGCACUCUGAUCAGUACUCGGGUCAGUACUCCUCCUCACUGUCGUCGGUGACGGUGUCUUGGAAGAUCCACAUCGAUGUGCUCCUCGGCGCGUCGCGCGCCAUCGAGUACCCGCACUGCCAUGCCGAACCGCGGAUCAUCCACCGGGACGGUAGGUUAUAUAACAUCCUUCUCGACGCCAAUUGGGUGCCGCAUUUGUCGGACUUUGGCGCGUCGGUUGCGUUACAGGUGGGUGAUGCUCGAGGUUCUAACAGGGAAAAGGGCAUUUUGGAGAGAGGAGGGGCAAGGGUCGACAGAUUUGGCAAGCUUCGCUCUCCCAAUAAUUGA